rnacentral:rRNA from 1 species
GGGUGGAUCCGCAAAGUCGGCUUGCGAAAUUCAGCUCGGAAGGCUGGUGCGGGCGUCUCGUCCGAGAUCUCUUUGUGGACUCGCCAGGCGUUCGGGCUGCCGGUCUGACGUGUGCACUUUUCGCAGGCAGAGCGCCACGACCGGUUCUCGGGCAGUCAGAAGGCGGCGAGGAAGGUAGGCGGGCACUUCGGUGCUCGCUGUUAUAGCCUUGCCUGUCCUGAGCUGCCGUCACGGGGACCGAGGAGCCGCCGCUCGGCUCGUAGCUACCCUGCUCUCCCGGGGGUGAUUCGACUGGCAGAGACUGGGCAACCGUGUCUGCCGACUGCUCCCCGGGACAGAUCGGGGAUGAACCGGUAGCUGGCCGGGCAACAGGGUCGGUGGCGAAUCGGUCGGCACUCCACCCGACCCGUCUUGAAACACGGACCAAGGAGUCUAACAUGCGCGCGAGUCGUUGGGUUGUACGAAACCCGAAGGCGGAGUGAAAGCGAGGGCCGUUCUAGCGACGUGCUCAGGUGGGAUCCUUGCUCCUCCGGAGCAGGGCGCACCACCGGCCCGUCUCGUUCGCGGUGUCGAGGAGGCGGAGCAAGAGCGUGCACGUUGGGACCCGAAAGAUGGUGAACUAUGCCUGAGUAGGAUGAAGCCAGAGGAAACUCUGGUGGAGGUCCGCAGCGAUUCUGACGUGCAAAUCGAUCGUCAAACUUGGGUAUAGGGGC